CUCUCCUGCAGGGAGGGCCGAGUUCCGGAGCCCAGGGCUGCCUUGGGCUGCCUGCCCUCCUGGGGGAGCUCAGAGCUGGAGCCAGGAGCAGCGACUGCAGAGGGAAGGGCCCCCAAGCUCCGGUUGCUUUGGCACCGCUGUCACUAAGGUUUUCUGAGAGUCUCCCACACACCUGACUGGGCCGGGAGCGUCUGUAUUUUGACUCCUUUAAGGCUCAUGGCUGCCUGGUGAUGAAGCCGAUUGUCUUCAUUUCCCACUGAGCCAUCUUUUCCCCAGUAUGGAACUGCUGUUCGGCUGCUUGUGGAGAAGACCUCGGCCCUGAAGAAGCUUCUGAAACUCUGCAAGACAGUGAGGUGCUGAUGCCAGAACUUUCCUCUGGGGAGAAGGAGGUGUGCGUAUCACAGCGGCAUGGGGGUGGCAACUCUUCCUCUGAAGGCAUUUUCCAGAAUACCCCUUCUCGGCCCAAUAGGAACAGGUUUGGGGGUGCCAGGGCCUCUCUCAGCAAGUUGCCUAAUCCCCACCUGCUGGCAGUCUGCCUUCAACCCCCACCAGAGUUUCUCAUAUGGCAGACUCACCUGGGCUUGUAGGUGAUGACCCUGGCUGCCGGGGAUUUAUCAUGAAAAUGGGACAUAUUUCUUUCUCUCUUUCAUACCCAGGCACUGAGGCCUGGAGGGGUUCAGCAGGCUGGCCAGUGGGUCUGGGCAGAGCUAGACUACGUCACUGUCUAUGUGACCCGGCUUGGCUGCUCCAGGUGGGAGGCACCUAGGGUGCCAUCUCAGGAUUGGGGGCAGGUUCACUUUUGGAGGUACCUGGGGCCAGUGGGUGGGGGAUGCUCCAGGCACAGCCCAGGCAGGGGGGUAGAGCCUUGUCAGGUGCUCGGCAGUAUUGGUGCCUACUUGUUUCCAUUCUAUCACCUUUAUUUGUAUUCUUUUGCUCUCAUCUUCAAAGAAA